rnacentral:rRNA from 1 species
GGAUAACGCCGUGAAAACGGCGCUAAUACCGAAUGUGGCGUACGGUCCGCAUGGACCGUCCGCUAAAGGCGGGGACCGCAAGGCCUGCCCCCCGGGGAAGGGUCCGUGUGCCAUCAGCUUGUUGGCGGGGUAACGGCCCACCAAGGCUUACGGCUAGCUGGUCUGAGAGGACGACCAGCCGCACUGGGACUGAGAUACUGCCCAGACUCCUACGGGAGGCUGCAGUCGAGGAUCAUUCGCAAUGGGGGAAACCCUGACGAUGCGACGCUGCGUGGAGGAUGAAGGCCCUCGGGUUGUAAACUCCUGUCAUGAGGGAAGAGGAGAGUGUCACUAACACUGGCGCGAUUUGACGGUACCUCAAGAGGAAGCCACGGCUAACUCUGUGCCAGCAGCCGCGGUAAUACAGAGGUGGCGAGCGUUGUUCGGAUUUACUGGGCGUAAAGGGCGCGUAGGCGGCGUCGUGUGUCGGGUGUGAAAUCCCAAGGCCCAACCCUGGAAGU